AGCCCUUUAGUCUAAUGGUAAGACACUUAUCGCCAGAAUAAGUAAGUAUUGGUUCGAUCCCAGUAAGGGCUC
rnacentral:tRNA from 1 species